rnacentral:rRNA from 1 species
GUAGGUGGCAAGCGUUGUCCGGAAUUAUUGGGCGUAAAGCGCGCGCAGGCGGUUCUUUAAGUCUGAUGUGAAAGCCCACGGCUCAACCGUGGAGGGUCACUGGAAACUGGAGAACUUGAGUACAGAAGAGGAAAGCGGAAUUCCACGUGUAGCGGUGAAAUGCGUAGAGAUGUGGAGGAACACCAGUGGCGAAGGCGGCUUUCUGGUCUGUAACUGACGCUGAGGCGCGAAAGCGUGGGGAGCAAACAGGGAUUAGAUACCCUGGUAGUCCACGCCGUAAACGAUGAGUGCUAAGUGUUAGGGGGUUUCCGCCCCCUUAGUGCUGCAGCUAACGCAUUAAGCACUCCGCCUGGGGAGUACGGCCGCAAGGCUG